AUGCACGCUGGCGGCGUGCCUAAUACAUGCAAGUCGAGCGAACAGACGAGGAGCUUGCUCCUCCGACGUUAGCGGCGGACGGGUGAGUAACACGUGGAUAACCUACCUAUAAGACUGGGAUAACUUCGGGAAACCGGAGCUAAUACCGGAUAAUAUAUUGAACCGCAUGGUUCAAUAGUGAAAGACGGUUUUGCUGUCACUUAUAGAUGGAUCCGCGCCGCAUUAGCUAGUUGGUAAGGUAACGGCUUACCAAGGCAACGAUGCGUAGCCGACCUGAGAGGGUGAUCGGCCACACUGGAACUGAGACACGGUCCAGACUCCUACGGGAGGCAGCAGUAGGGAAUCUUCCGCAAUGGGCGAAAGCCUGACGGAGCAACGCCGCGUGAGUGAUGAAGGUCUUCGGAUCGUAAAACUCUGUUAUUAGGGAAGAACAAAUGUGUAAGUAACUAUGCACGUCUUGACGGUACCUAAUCAGAAAGCCACGGCUAACUACGUG
rnacentral:rRNA from 1 species